CAAGGCAACACAGACCCUGCUGGGCGGUGCUGGUGUGACCGGUAUCUGGUGCUUCUCGUUCCUUUUUAGGAGUCUGAUGAAACUCCAGUUCCACCAGGAGCAUAUGCAAACUCCCAUAGACAAGACUGGCGAAAUGAUUACUUCAUGUGCUGCACCAGAGCUUUAGCACAUGGUCCCAGGAUCAUUACAAAAGCUGUGGAGGUCCACAACCUUCCGUUUUUGAUUCACCCAUGUUGCUUUUUGUUUUUGUUUUCUUUCAAUUUGUACAUUUUAAGUCAGUUUACAGAAAUGUACGCUACAGUUUUAAGGGGGGAUAAAAAGAACAUUUACAAUCUAACCAUUGUAAAAGUGACACAUGCAUCAAUUCAUCACUCAUCACUGAGGGUUGUUUGGCUGCAGCCCGUGCUGUUUCCACAGCCAGAAGAGGCUGCUUGAUCACUCAGUGAUGGAACCCGCUGGAGACCUGAUUAAUUCAUUAAUUGAAGAAGAGGAACAACUGCUCACGACUCGCGCCCUGGAGCGAAGCGUGGUUCUGGUGAGCCCGUGCUCGUCCUCAGCAGUCGGUGCCCGGGGCCCUCGAGGGAAGGCUGUGAUUGCUCGGCGAGUCUCAGUCUCUCUGACAGGACAAGAGCGGAGAGAAAAAGCAUGAAAGUCAGAGGAUUCCCUGAAGCCAUGGAGCGAAGAACUCUCAUUGUAACCACAAGAGUUGAAGCAAACUCUGCUGAAAAAGGCCUGUCAAGCAUUAAAGUAAUGCAACGUGUCAGCAGCAUGAACAACGCGCUGGAAGACGCAGAAAUGUAUUAGUAUUAUUUUAUCCCUUUAAAUUGAAUUUGUCCUGCGCGCGGAGCACACGGGAGCCGCGCUGCCCUGGACGCCGGCCCAGUAACAGCAGUCUGGCUCAUAACAAUGACACCCACUGCAGCCGCUCCUCGGGCUCGUCCGUAAUGAAUGCCUUCUAAUUG